UGAAGCCGGAAUUGCUAGUAAUGGCAGGUCAGCAUACUGCCGUGAAUACGUUCCCGGGCCUUGUACACACCGCCCGUCACACCAUGAGAGUUGGGGAUACCCGAAGCCUGUGAGCUAACUUUUUAAGAGGCAGCAGUCGAAGGUAGAAUCAAUGAUUGGGGUGAAGUCGUAACAAGGUACC
rnacentral:rRNA from 1 species